UUGUUUACCUUAGUUACAUAGAUAAAUAUUCUGUACAAGUUUAUAAAUACUUGUAAUUUAUACGUUUAUUAUAGUUAUUAUAUUAAGUGAAAUAUAUUUAUUAAAUGAUUCUGGGUACUACCUCUCCAGAUGGAUAUUUUCUAUAAGACAUUGUGCAUAGAGGUUGCGUCUGUAAAGCGGACAAUACAAUUGACCAAGUUCAAGGGAAAAUCUGGGGUAUUUAUAGGAAAAGGUCACAUGACCCUUGAAACAGUAACGUGACUGCAUAUAAUGACGUCACUGAGUACCCAGAUGGGUCAUGUGAUCUAUUUGAUGACGUCACAUUGUCUCCAUCUUAACUCGAUUAAAUACAGAACAUAUUCUACGUCUCCAUCUGGAAUUCUAAUCAGUACCAACUAAUAAUGGAUGGAACACAAGGCAUGGCACAAGUUUGAUGAGUUAUGUAGCAAUAAAUAAGUGAUCACAAAUGGGCAAACUGGCGUAAACAUCAAGUAUUAUACAUAUGUUAAUAAAUCAGAAUAAAGUUGAUAACUGUCAACAAGUAUUAACGUGGUUUCCGGGGUUAUAAAAAGUGUCAUGAUGUUCGGACGAAAUGAACUUCGUAACAUUACCCCCAUCCCGCAAAGGAUUCAGACCCUGAAUCGAAAGAUAUAAGUAAUUACAUUGGUUUAUAGGAGCAUCCUUAAUGAAUCAGUACUUUUGGAUGUUUGGUAGAACAUUUGAGACAGGGAUUGUUUUUGUUGAAGAUACUCUCUGGCCACAAGAGUUCCUCUAGGCAUAGGUAUACAUGAAAGGUCAAAUGUUUGGAAUGGUUCUCUUCCCUCCCCAGAAAUAACAGGUUAACAUAGAGUGAAUUGGCGAUAGCAGGAGGGUCAACAGUACUGUAGAUUCCGGAUAUGGUUGAAUUGGUCAAUAUUUGAUGUAGGUAGUCACAUCUCUUGAGAUCUAAAGGAUAGAUGGAGCUCAAUCCAUCCCGUAGAGCUGAAGAUAAUCCAGUCAAGAUUGUGGAGCUCAUACAUUCCUGGCUGGAUGGUCAAUUGUAAUGUCCUUCUUGUUUCAUAUGUACAUUGAAAUAAAUUGGUUUGACAUC